rnacentral:rRNA from 1 species
GCCUCUUGCUAUAUAAGAAUAAGAGGUCCCGCCUGCCCUGUGACCCUGGUUUAACGGCCGCGGUACUUUGACCGUGCAAAGGUAGCGCAAUCACUUGUCUUUUAAAUGAAGACCUGUAUGAACGGCAUAACGAGGGCUUAACUGUCUCCUUUUUCCAAUCAAUGAAAUUGAUCCCCCCGUGCAGAAGCGGGGAUAAACCCAUAAGACGAGAAGACCCUGUGGAGCUUUAGACAAUAAACAGACCAUGUUAAUAAACCUAAUAAAAUAGAAUAAACUUAUUGGUUAACUGUUCUAAUGUCUUUGGUUGGGGCGACCGCGGGAUAAUAAAAAACUCCCAUGUGGAAAGAGAAUAUUCUUUCACAACCCAGAGUAACAACUCUAAGCAACAGAAUUUCUGACCAAAAAUGACCCGGCAGUGCCGAUCAACGAACCUAGUUACCCCAGGGAUAACAGCGCAAUCCUCUCCUAGAGCCCGUAUCAACGAGGGGGUUUACGACCUCGAUGUUGGAUCAGGACAUCCUAAUGGUGCAGCCGCUAUUAAGGUUCGUUUGUUCAACGAUUAA